rnacentral:lncRNA from 1 species
AUUAAUCCACACAAUAGUAUCAUGCACUCUCUACACGCUAUCUUUUCUAAGUAAAUCCACGUUCCCCUUUCUCUUUCGUUUCACCGAGAAAUACAAGUUCUCUUCUUCAAUCCAUGCUUAUGGAAGCAAGUUGUCUUCAACCUCAAUUAACCGAAAUUUAUGAUUAGAAAUUUUCAUCUUUAAAAGUUCUCAUAGAUCCCUUA